rnacentral:SRP_RNA from 1 species
GCCGGGUGUGGUGGUGGGCACCUGUAGUCCCAGCUACUCGGGAGGCUGAGGCAGGAGAAUGGCAUGAACCCAGGAGGUGGAGCUUGCAGUGAGCCGAGAUCGCGCCACUGCACUCCAGCCUGGGUGACAGAGCCAGACUCUGUCUCAA